rnacentral:rRNA from 1 species
UACGGAGGGGGCAAGCGUUAUUCGGAAUUAUUGGGCGUAAAGAGCUCGUAGGCGGUGUGUCGCGUCGGCCGUGAAAACCUGCAGCUUAACUGUGGGCUUGCGGUCGAUACGGGCAUCACUGGAGUUCGGCAGGGGAGACUGGAAUUCCUGGUGUAGCGGUGAAAUGCGCAGAUAUCAGGAGGAACACCGGUGGCGAAGGCGGGUCUCUGGGCCGAAACUGACGCUGAGGAGCGAAAGCGUGGGGAGCAAACAGG